rnacentral:rRNA from 1 species
UACGUAGGGGCCUAGCGUUGUCCGGAAUUAUUGGGCGUAAAGAGCUCGUAGGCGGUUCGGCAAGUCGGAUGUGAAAUCUCCACGCUCAACGUGGAGGGGCCAUUCGAAACUGCCGUGACUCGAGUCCGGUAGGGGAGUGUGGAAUUCCCGGUGUAGCGGUGAAAUGCGCAGAUAUCAGGAGGAACACCAAUGGCGAAGGCAGCUCGCUGGGACGGUACUGACGCUGAGACGCGAAAGCGUGGGGAGCAAACAGG